rnacentral:rRNA from 1 species
CAGUCGCCACGGUAAUACGAAGGGGGCUAGCGUUGUUCGGAAUUACUGGGCGUAAAGCGCACGUAGGCGGAUAUUUAAGUCAGGGGUGAAAUCCCAGAGCUCAACUCUGGAACUGCCUUUGAUACUGGGUAUCUUGAGUAUGGAAGAGGUGAGUGGAAUUCCGAGUGUAGAGGUGAAAUUCGUAGAUAUUCGGAGGAACACCAGUGGCGAAGGCGGCUCACUGGUCCAUUACUGACGCUGAGGUGCGAAAGCGUGGGGAGCAAACAGGAUUAGAUACCCCCGUAGUCCCUGUCUCUUAUAA